GACAGAGGGUGCAAACGUUGUUCGGAAUUACUGGGCGUAAAGCGUGCGCAGGCGGUCUGUUAAGACCGAUGUGAAAUCCCCGGGCUUAACCUGGGAACUGCAUUGGUGACUGGCAGGCUUUGAGUGUGGCAGAGGGAGGUAGAAUUCCACGUGUAGCAGUGAAAUGCGUAGAGAUGUGGAGGAAUACCGAUGGCGAAGGCAGCCUCCUGGGCCAACACUGACGCUCAUGCACGAAAGCGUGGGGAGCAAACAGG
rnacentral:rRNA from 1 species